UUAAUUGAAGAGUUUGAUCAUGGCUCAGAUUGAACGCUGGCGGCAGGCCUAACACAUGCAAGUCGAGCGGCAGCACAGAGGAACUUGUUCCUUGGGUGGCGAGCGGCGGACGGGUGAGUAAUGCCUGGGAAAUUGCCCGGUAGAGGGGGAUAACCAUUGGAAACGAUGGCUAAUACCGCAUAACCUCGCAAGAGCAAAGCAGGGGACCUUCGGGCCUUGCGCUACCGGAU
rnacentral:rRNA from 1 species